UAGGGAAAUAGCCUUAGUGUCAACAACAGA
rnacentral:piRNA from 1 species